rnacentral:rRNA from 1 species
GAUGAACGCUAGCGGCAGGCCUAAUACAUGCAAGACGAACGGUAAGUUGAGUAGCAAUACUUAGCCAAGAGUGUCGUACGGGUGCGUAACACGUAUGCAACCUACCCUAUACAGGAGGAUAGCCUAGGGAAACCUGGAUUAACCCUUCAUAGUAUUAUUGGAUGGCAUCAUUUGAUAAUUAAAACUGAGGUGGUAUAGGAUGGGCAUGCGUCUGAUUAGUUAGUUGGCGGGGUAAUGGCCCACCAAGACGAUGAUCAGUAGGGGUUCUGAGAGAAAGAUCCCCCACACUGGCACUGAGAUACGGGCCAGACUCCUACGGGAGACAGCAGUAGGGAAUAUUGGUCAAUGGAUGCAAGUCUGAACCAGCCAUGCCGCGUGCAGGAAGAAGGGCCCUUUC